rnacentral:tRNA from 1 species
AAGGGAGACCAACCGGAUCAAUACAGUAAGAUUAAAAAUAGUGUUGUGAAGGUCAAACCCUGGUCGAGACAAGGAUAAAUAAAAAAAGUAGUAAAGUAAACUUUCAAACUAGAGUUAAGGUUCGAUAAAUGGGCUAUUAGCUCAGGUGGUUAGAGCGCACCCCUGAUAAGGGUGAGGUCCCUGGUUCAAGUCCAGGAUAGCCCACCUAAGAAGGGUAAGGGGGUAUAGCUCAGUUGGUAGAGCGCUGCCUUUGCAAGGCAGAAGUCAGCGGUUCGAGUCCGCUUACCUCCAGGAAUAAAAAAUGUAGAAAUCAGCAACAAGACCUGAAUAAAGCAAGUCAUGCUGCUGGUAUUCUUAAAUACCAGUAAGAACCUUGAAAACUGCAUAGUCAAAAAAAGUCAAAGUAACUGAACCAGAGGUUAAGUAAAACCUUAAAAAAAUCUAGUUCAGGUGUAGAAAGAAAAAAGUGGUCAAGUUAUAAAGGGCUGACGGU